CAGUACUGGGAUGAAAAAGGACCAAUUUUCUUUUACACUGGCAAUGAAGGACCAAUAACUAGUUUUAGGGAAAACUCAGGCUUUGUUUUCGAAGCAGCUCAGAAGUUCAAUGCUUUGGUUAUUUUUGGUGAACAUUUAUGGUGGAAUACUGAGUGCUUACAUGAGGUUCAAAUAUCCAAAUGUGGUUGAUGUUGCCUUGGCAGCCAGUGCUCCAAUUUACAUGACCACUUUCCAGCAUAGUGAAAGAGACUCAUUCUUUGCUGCAGUGACAGAGGCCUAGGACUUGCUGAAAUCUCAAGGAUAUUUAAACUCUGCAAACCACUCUUGAAAGUCAAUAGAUCAGGUAAGAAUUAUCUAAUCACUAUCACACAAACACUGCCAUGACUGUGAAGUGAACAUAGUUAAAUAUUCUCUGGAGCAGCAUUUAGUGACUUCAUGGUAACUAACUGUUAGAUUUUUUUCCAGAUUACUUCCUAUCUCCCUUCCUCUCAUUCACUUCCUGUUCCCUUCUUCUCUGACCCACCCUCCU